GUACGGCGAGUGAACAGGCAAGAGCUCAGAUUUGAAAGGCACUUUUGUGCCGUUGUAUUCUGAAGUUAGGGUCCUGAGAAACGAUGCUUAAGUCUUCUGGAAAGGAGCGCCAUGGAGGGUGAUAGCCCCGUCUAGCAUUGACCUCAUAUAGGAUCUUAACAUGGAGUCGAGUUGUUUGGGAAUGCAGCUCAAAUGGGUGGUAUGCUCCAUCUAAAGCUAAAUAUCUGCGAGAGACCGAUAGUAAACAAGUACUGUGAGGGAAAGAUGAAAAGAACUUUGAAAAGAGAGUGAAAAAGUACGUGAAAUUGUUGAAAUGGAAGGGUAGGCCGCUAACCAUGUAGAGCCGUGUUUGGGGGGAAGAUAAAUGCUGUAGAAUGUAGCUCCUCGGAGUAUUAUAGAUGCAGUUCAUAUUCCCACCCGAGCGCGAGGAUCUCAGGUUCUACUAAAUGGUGGUCUACCACCCGU
rnacentral:rRNA from 1 species